AUGCUUAGGAAGAUGUUCCAAGGUGGUUCCUCUAAGAAGCAAGGACCCAGGAUUGCUAUGCGCGAUGCUGACGAGGAUCCACCAAGAGACGCUCCAGUACGGCCUUGUGAAUGGCCGUCGGAAAAUUUUAUAGACCGUGCAGGAAUUAAAGAAGAAUUCAAAGCAUAUUUGCGCAAUUCCGGUCUUGAGGAUUUUGAGGCUAACAAAUGCCCCCAGUAUCAUGAUCUCACAAGUUCAUUUGUGAGGAGGUUUGAGUAUUCAUCUUCGCGUAAUUCUCCUUCAGUCAUGUUUGAUCUUUAUGACAAAUCUUAUACCAUGGACCUAGAGGAUUUCACUCUUGCUUGCAAACUUCCAUCAUGGGGCAGUAUUAGGGAUCCCCCUAAAUAUGAAUUUAGAAACUUUCUUGCUAGUACAACUGGGGGGGAAUCUAGAGAUAUAACGCAGGCUACCAUAGGGAGCAUUCACUUUCCUGCUAUACAUUAUUUUGCUCUUUUCAUCGGUAGAUGCAUAAAUGCUAAGGAUGAAGCAUGUCACAUGUGUGUCCCUGAUCUUAGCAUUCUUAGGAGUGCUAUGUUAGGAGACCAAUCUUAUCAUAUGGGAGCCAUUGUAGCUCGUAGGUUGCAUCAUAAUAGACAUAAUGGAGAUUUCUUUGGAGGAAUUACAACCCGCUUAGCUCAUUUUCUUGAGAUAGACAUUCUUGAGGGUGAUACGGAGUUUCCCCCUGCAUAUUUAGAUUAUAACUCUAUAGCUUCGCACCAGUUUGUCGAGAGGCCUGAAUCACCUCUCUUAUAUCGUUUAAUUUUUGAUAAACAACGUGUUUUCCGUAUUACUCUCCCUGCUCCUUCCUUCUUUGAUUCACAGACAAAAAGAAGAUAUGUUAUUACAAGAGAGGAGGCAGAAGAGUACGAGAGGAGAGCGGAGGUAGCUCGACUCCAUGCUGCAGCUCAGCAGGCGAUAACCGCUGCACAUCGGUAUGAUCCCAACUAUUCCUCCUCGUCACAGUACGACCCCAACAACUAUUAUUAUGGAUAUCCGCCAGGCCAGCCGUGGCCAUAG
rnacentral:rRNA from 1 species